AGAGCUGCUAGCGACAGUUGGUUAUAGUUUGUCGUACAGCAAACGUUUGACGCUUGUUAAAGAGCAAAAAUGAGACGGCUAAUCUCUUAAAACUGUUUUUAUUAACCAAGAUACAGAAAGUGCGGCGAUGACCACAUGAAGGAGCAAUCUGGGUCGAGCGGAUGUGUUAUGAAUGUGUGUGAUCUUACUGCACUGCGGUGGAAAUGCGGAGGUGACGAGAGCCCAUAGUAGGAAACUGCCGAGAGUUGAUGUAGGAAACUUUCCUCAGCGCGCCGUUCAUCUGCUCCAGAUCCUCAGCCUCCAUCACCAGCACAGACUGAGCCGGAUUCAGGUGAAACUGACACACAGAGACAGAGCAAAAAUAAAGAUGUAGCACUGU
rnacentral:lncRNA from 1 species